UUUUUUAUUCUGCUGCGUGAACAGCCUCACACUAUACCCGUGAUGUUCUGCUGACAACAGGUGGCAUCUUGUUUCUGGUUGGAGCCAUUGCUGCUCUCAUCUGUUACUGCAGGAGGAAGAAAAGAGUUUCAAAGCCUCAGAAAAGCACCGAGGGAUCUGAACCUAGAGUAUGUGCCAGAAACCUGCGUCCUGCUCAUGAUAAUCAGGGAUCUAAAGCCAGGGUUCCUGGUGCAGAGCAGGUGGAACAGGACUCUGAAGUCACCUACGCGCUCAUGGAAUUCCCGGCCUUGGAGGCCCAGGCAUCCCAGCCGAAAAACAAAGCCAAGCCUGCUGAAGCUGAGCAUGUGCUGUAUAGCGAGGUGGUGACAACACACACUCGGAAGGCAGCUAAAUAAGGAGGAAGAACCCCCUCUAUGUCUCUCUGCAUCUUCUCCACCUCCUCCAGGCAUCCGUAUCCUUAACCCUUUAUAUCUCAAGAACCCUUUUCUGCCACUUGGCAAAGAGCACGCCUAACACACUGUUGUCAGACUAUUUAGCCAACCAGCAGCUUGUUGGGUAUCAUAUAAAAACUUGUGACCCACUCAGAGGUGAAAGUAA